rnacentral:rRNA from 1 species
UACAGAGGUCCCAAGCGUUGUUCGGAUUCACUGGGCGUAAAGGGUGCGUAGGUGGUCGGGUAAGUCUGAUGUGAAAUCUCCGAGCUUAACUCGGAAAUGGCAUUGGAUACUAUUCGACUGGAGGGUUGGAGGGGGGACUGGAAUUCUCGGUGUAGCAGUGAAAUGCGUAGAUAUCGAGAGGAACACCAGUGGCGAAGGCGGCACUCUGGGGCCGGAACUGACGCUGAGGAGCGAAAGCGUGGGUAGCAAACAGG